CUGACUUCCUGCCGCGAAUGUGAAGCUACUGCGAAUUCUCGGCUGAAUUUCCGCAGUAGCUUC
rnacentral:ncRNA from 19 species